ACUUCCUACUAAACCCCGGAAAAACUUGCGAGGAAAUUUUCCAUUUUUUUCCUUGAUUUUGUUUUUCAAAGAAAAGGGAUUGUUGGAACAGCGUUUUGAUUUUAGGAAGCAAUACAAAGGAACGGAAACAAUGAAGUUCUUGGAUUGGUACUUGAAAAUAGGAGUUGUUUCAGCGUUGAUUGGAGGUUCCAUGGAGCUUUUCAUGAUCAAAACGGGCUUCUAUGAUAAAGUGACAGUUUUGGAGUCAGAGAAGAGGGCUUGGGAGAGUACCCCUGAAGCUCAGGCCAUUCGAGAAGCUCUCAAUCCUUGGAGAGAUCACGAUAAGCAGACAAGAAAGAGUUCCUAGCUCAUGUUUGCACUUGGUUGGUAUAAAAGGGCUUCAUUCUUCACGAUUUUAAUUAAGGGCGCAUUUCAUUUCAACAAAGAACGUUGAAUCGCUUAGUCUUGAUGGAGCUUCUAAUCGUGCCAGCAAUUUUAAUGUUUUUCACUGGAACUUCAUAUAAAUGUUUGGGGUUUUUCUUGGGUCAAGUUAAUUUCAUUAUUUCAAAAGACAAGAAGUACCCAUUCUAGGUUUAAUUGUUGGUUAUUUGUUAUUUGUUGCUGCUUUCGGGAUUGCUUUUACAACAUCUCUUUGAUGUAAUACUUGAUAUGGUGCUUUUCUAUCUUUGUUCUGUUUGUAGAAUGGGGAAAAUGGGACUGCGAAAGUUCAGAGCUUAUCUUGAAAGUUGAGGUUAACCAACACAUAAA